GCCAGGCAAGCAUCUGAACUGCGAAAACACCUGGGAAGCCGACGUCCUCCGGAGCCGUGUGCGCAGGUUCGAAUCCUGCCGGGGGCA
rnacentral:tRNA from 1 species